AUGAGUAGUUCUGGAGAUAGUUCACAAGAAGGGCUCAAUGUUGACUUGGGGGUCUAGAGGGAGAUGGUUCUGCAAGUGGUACUGGCAAUGACGCAAAGCAAGGUCGGGGUCAAGGGAUAUGCAACUGGUGUCUAAAUAACAUGAGAAAAAGUAUCAGACUCCAGCAAACUUGAUGGCACCAUUGAAUUUUGUCCUGAACAGCAGCCUUUGAUUCAUGUCUUCAACAAUGUAUGUAUAAAUGAAGAAUAAUGAAAAAUUGUGGAGAAGUUUCAAGAGUGAUUUGAAGUAAGCUUAUUAUAAACCUUUCGAAGGAAGUGAAAGACGGUGGCAAUGUGGGGAUUCUCGUGUAGACCCAAACCAGUGGCGGCUGUUGUUUGAGCAUUAGGAAAAAGAUGAGACUA